rnacentral:lncRNA from 1 species
CGCGUGUCUAGGUGAGUCGCGGUGGGUCCUCGCUUGCAGUUCAGCGACCACGUUUGUUUCGACGCCGGACCGCGUAAGAGACGAUGAUGUUGGGCACGGAAGGUGGAGAGGGAUUCGUGGUGAAGGUCCGGGGCUUGCCCUGGUCUUGCUCGGCCGAUGAAGUGCAGAGGUUUUUUUCUGGUGAGUUAGAACUAGGACGCGGGAGUUCGAGUUCGAGGCCGGGGCGGGCGGGCUGGCGGGCGGCCGGGCUGGGGCGGGGCGGGGCGGGGCGGGCCGGGCCGGGCCGGGCCGGGUGGGACCCGGGGCGCCCCCUGGCGAGGCGCGGGCGACUACACUCACCGCUGUGCUGCUCGCGCCCGGCGGCCCGC